CCUACGGGGCGCAGCAGUGGGGAAUAUUGCACAAUGGGGGAAACCCUGAUGCAGCGACGCCGCGUGAGUGAUGAAGUAAUUCGUUAUGUAAAGCUCUAUCAGCAGGGAAGAAAAUGCCGGUAGCUGAGUAACAAGCCCUGGCGAACUCCGUGCCAGCAGCCGCGGUAUUACGUAGGGGGCAAGCGUUAUCCGGAUCUACUGGGUGUAAAGGGAGCGUAGACGGCAGGGCAAGCCUGGGGUGAAAGGCGGGGGCUCAACCCCCGGACUGCUCUGGAAACUGUACGGCUGGAGUGCAGGAGAGGUAAGUGGAAUUCCUGGGGUAGGAGUGAAAUGCGUAGAUAUUAGGAGGAACACCAGUGGCGAAGGCGGCUUACUGGACUGUAACUGACGUUGAGGCUCGAAAGCGUGGGGAGCAAACAGGAUUAGAUACCCUUGUAGUC
rnacentral:rRNA from 1 species